GUAGUAUAAGAUUUCAGUGAAAUUGCUUCUAUGUAAUCUGGAUUGUUAUCGUUUUGUUUGUUGAGACAAUGGCAUUGAAGGAUGCAGGAGCUUGUAUUGUAGGGUGAAGGGGUGUUACCGCAUUAAUAGCUAGUACAAAAAGAGGGUCUACUGAAGGGAUGUGUGAAGCAAGGUAAUCAUUUAAAAAAAUACUAAUACUCCCAAGAAAACAUAUUAAUCAUUCAGCCAUUGAUAUGCACCAACAAAAAUUUUGGAAAGUUGGCACCCUUGGUUGUAAACUGUCUAUGAAGUCUAAAUGACAAAUGCAAUGAUGCUUUGUCUGGUGACUGACAAAAUGUGUAUGUCAUUGGUUUGUGGUCCACAAUGAGAAUGAAUUGUCUACCUGUGAGCACGUGUCUGAAUUUCUUGAUGGAAAAAAUAUUCUGCAUACAGUUCAUGGUCAUAGGUAGACUAGUUCUGCUAUGAAGGAGAUAGCUUUUUUCUGUAGAAUGCUAAAGGCUGCCACUGAAUGUCUGUCUGCUGUUUUAGUGCAGCAUCUAUUACUGUUGCUGACAGAUCAACUGUUACCACCAACAGUGCUUGCAGAACAGGGUGCACCGACAGAGCGGCCUCAGCAAUAGCCAUCUUGCUGAAAGCUGUCUCGGCUUCACUACUCCACAGCAGUCUGGCGCUUAACUGAGCAACCCUCAUAGAAGAUCAUUCAGAGGAGCAGCUAACAAUGCAUUGUUCCAUACACAAUGAUGGUAGAAAUUGGUGACACCUAGAAAUCACCACAAUUUACAAACAGUCAAUGGUCGUGGAUAAUUAACCAUUGGGUCUACCUUGUCUUGAGGUGGUUGAAUUGUGAGGGCAUUGACUGUGUAGCCAAGGAAGUGGAAUUCUGAACCUUCAUCCGUGAAAUAUUGGAAUGUUUGUGAGGCAUUGUCCAAUACAAAAGGCAUUCUUGUAAACUCAAAGAGGCAAAAUGGAGUGGUGCGAGCAGUUUUAGCAAUCUCUUCUAGCACUACUGGUACUUUAUAAUAUGCACACAUGAAGUCUAAGGUGGAGAAUACGUGCUUACCAUAAAUUUAAAGUCCUCAAUGUGCAGUACGGUGUAGUGGUCUGGGAUUGUCCUUGCAAUUAGCUGUUGUUUUUCAUCGCCAAGACACCAUCCAUUGUUCUUCUUAGGCACUGUAUGCAGCGGUGAGGCCCAGUUGCUGCUUAAUGGUCGGAAUAUGUCCUGUUCAAGCAUGAAAGAGAAUUAUUACUUAGUUACUUUUAGAUUCUUGGUUGGCAGGUGGUGCAGUCAAGCAUGGAUUGGCAGUCUGGGUGUUGUGAUGAUGUAAUACACUGUCAAAUGGCAUACUGAUGCUAGUGUUGGUCACUAUUUGAUGAUCUUCAGGAACUGUUUAAGAAGUUCCAAGUAGGGAGAGUCAGUCAUGAUCAUCCUAAUGGCAGGACCAUCCAGACAAUGUACACUUACUCGAGUGGCCAGAUUAGUGCUGGUAUCUAGCAGUCAACAAUGUCUGAGGUUAUGUAGCAAGUGAUAAAAUGACAGAAAGUCUCCAGCUAUUAUGGGAUGUGUCACAUUCGCUACUAUAAAUUGUCACUCAAACUUAUGACAUAGGCCUAGAUUUAGUGUACGUGUCACACGCCCAUAUGAUUUUAUUGUAGAUCUGUUGGCAGCAAACAGGUGACCACCAUCACAUUUAUGAUGAGAAACAGGAGUAGAUGUAUAAACAGACAUUUCUGCGCCGGUAUCCAUCAGGAACUGGAGAUUGGUGUAGAUACUGGUGACAAACAAUCGACAACUGCUCUUUAGAUGGCUAGUCGCCAUCAUCACUGAUUUCCUGUCAUGUUCCCAUCUCACAUGGCGUAAUGUAUCUCUUGUCUUUGACAUCCAAACCUUCUGUGGUACCAGCAGAUCUUUUGUGAUGAAGGUGAUCAGCUGGGUUCACCCUGUGAUUGACUACUUGAAUGUCAUGUUCGUAGUGCAGAGUCUAGCACAGUGACCUCCACGAUCUGUAUCUGUAGUGAUCCUACAACAGAAUUGUGUGAUGGGUUAACAAUUGCUACUGUUGCCAACGGGCCUGUCUCAAUGAUACAGUCAGCAGUCUAUGCUAAUGUGUCAAGGUCUCUGGUGCAUACUGUAAGGAUCUUCUGUGUGACUUGAGGUAGAUGUGGAAGCUAGAUGUUCCUUAGAAUGUCUUCAUUGACAGCAUUGCUCGCUAUUGUUAAUAACAGGUGCAGCAGCUGUGAGAGAUUGCAAUCUCCUGCGAGGCAAUGCAAUCUCCUAAUUCAUGUGUUAGCAGCAACUACUCAAGUUGUUUUGCCUCAGACUCCGACAGACACGUGACCAUAGCAUUCUUCAAAGUCCUGUAUCAGUCAGAGAUCAGUGUUAAGGCCAAAAUAUUGUACAAUUCAUUAGCAAUGCCUUCAUUAAGAGCGGCGACGACAUAACAGUAGUUAGUUUUAUCAGCUCUUAGGUUGGUGAGCAUGUAUUGACUCUCGAUUUGUGCAAACCAUUCAACGGGGUUUGACAGUGACUUGAUUAACUGAAGCAUUCAGGGGCACAUUGACAGAUGGUGGCAGGUCUGACAUUGCUAUAUGUCAAUACGUGGAUGGUGCACGGCAUGGCUGAUGCAGUAGAUUGCCUCUUGACUUUCAAAGUAUGUCAGCAAUGCAGUAUGUGGAUGACACAUGGUUAAUUUGUGCUUGAUGUUCAGAGCAACAUGACAUGGAUACUAUGUUAGUUGACUUUGACUCUCACCUAUGAUUAUGUCAGGGCCACCAAAAAUGAUGCGACUCAUGAGAACUUAACUUUAAGGCAAAAUUUAUUGCUUUGCACGUUGAUACAAUGCAGUCUGAAAAUACAUCAACAUGAAAAAGUAAUAACAGAAUAAUUACAUAAAACUAGAAAUAGACAGUGUCAAAAAGAUUAAGUCAUAGUGUAAUCACUGUAUGAAUUGCACACUUCUUCACCUUGAUACACAACAUUGCACAACCACUACAUAAAGUUAGCAGGGCCUGUACUGUCACCGUUGCCAUUGGCUGUUCCAAACUGUAACAACUUGGCAAUGAUAGGUGGAACAUGGGAGGCAUAUGACGACUCAGCGCAAGUAGACAGACUUCAAGAGAAUUUACAAUUCAGAAACCAGUGAAGACAAAGUGGAUCUGGGUGCACCAUCUGAAAUUCAAGGAUCAAAUGUGCUGUUUGCACUAAAAGUGAUGGGAUUACCAGAUCCUUGGGUGCUAUCAGAAGUGCCCAGGUUUGGAAUGAAUUCUCCAUGUAUACACCAUGACUUAAAUCUGCAGGCUUGAAGUUUACAGCAACUGUUGGAAUGCUUGGAUCAUGCAUGAAUAUACUAGCUUCCAUAAUUGAGAAUAGUGACUAAUAACAGUGAAAUUAAGAGACGAUAUCUAAGUUCGUUCCAUGAAAAGUGGUUGCAGAAUGAAAAUUGUGAAGAGUGGUAACAAAAACUUGACAGUGAUGUGCUUGUAUGGUUCCCUUGGAGAAGUCAGCUGGAGAUAUCCCAAAAUCUAAACCGGAGUCCACAUGCACAAGACAUGCAUUUACCAUCAGGUCGCAGCAGAAAUGGGUAUUGCGAGGCCAAUUAAUAACUGAGUAGGUGAUAACUAUAAUAGCUAAUCUCUUCAGGAAGAAUAAGCCAGAAUAUUAACAGACUGCUCCACUGAUGCUCCACGAUCGAUAUUAGCAUCAUCCAUGGGAGGCCGGUCAACCUCAGCCAUUGGUGAAUAACUAACACUUGGAUCAACACCCUGUAAGAAAACAACAAGCACCCAACUGGAGGACGAAAUCUGAAAAUGCAGAAAUAUUGACUGCAUAUACUGCACUUAUUACUCUUUGCAGCCGAGCUAGUUUUGACAAUCAAUUACAAAAGUUCAGAAGAAGUAACAUCCGCAAAAACAAACACCACAUACAAAUGGGGCAGUCGAUCCUACAGAAUCAAAACAUAUACUAAAUAUUUUGAACCCAAAAUGUUUUACAGAGAAAACUUAAAAAGAGGCAAAUUUUCAAAGCUAUAAAAGGUAGAAAAAAAUUACAUUAUUGCCCCUCAAUACAUGUAGGGAGGAAGUAA